AACAUGUCAGAUGGACAUCUCUUGGUCAGCUGCUUGUAUCUUUCCCAAGCUUCAUAGAGGGAUUCACCAUCUUUUUAUUUGAAGGAGGAAAGAACUUAUCUAAGAAU